CUUGACCGAGCCCAGCCACAGCGGCUCGACGCGGUCCUGCCCGUAGGUGGCGAUGAGCGCCUGCGCCUC
rnacentral:antisense_RNA from 1 species